AUGCUUAUCAGUAGCACAUAUAAUAAAAUAGGAAUAUUGGAGAGAAAAUUAUCAUGGUUCUUGCACAAGGGAACAUGCAAAUUCAUGAAGUCUUUCGUAUUUUU